rnacentral:rRNA from 1 species
AUUGAACGCUGGCGGCAGGCCUAACACAUGCAAGUCGAACGGUAACAGGAAACAGCUUGCUGUUUCGCUGACGAGUGGCGGACGGGCGAGUAAUGUCUGGGAAACUGCCUGAUGGAGGGGGAUAACUACUGGAAACGGUAGCUAAUACCGCAUAACGUCGCAAGACCAAAGAGGGGGACCUUCGGGCCUCUUGCCAUCGGAUGUGCCCAGAUGGGAUUAGCUAGUAGGUGGGGUAACGGCUCACCUAGGCGACGAUCCCUAGCUGGUCUGAGAGGAUGACCAGCCAAACUGGAACUGAGACACGGUCCAGACUCCUACGGGAGGCAGCAGUGGGGAAUAUUGCACAAUGGGCGCAAGCCUGAUGCAGCCAUGCCGCGUGUAUGAAGAAGGCCUUCGGGUUGUAAAGUACUUUCAGCGGGGAGGAAGGGAGUAAAGUCAAUACCUUUGCUCAUUGACGUUACCCGCAGAAGAAGCACCGGCUAACUCCGUGCCAGCAGCCGCGGUAA